rnacentral:snRNA from 1 species
GGGUUGAUUUGGACCCCAUUGAUCACCGGGGUUGAUUUGGCUGAUCUGGCUGGCUAGGUGGGUGUCCCCUUCCUCACUCACUGCCCCAUGUGCAUCCCUCUUGAAGCUGCCUGCUAGGUUGAAGAGGACAACCAUCCCGGAUAGAGGAGGACAGGUCUUUGGUCAAGGGUAUAUGAGUAGCUGCAUUCCCCUGCUAGAACCUGCAAACAGGCUCUCAAGAAUUGUAGUAUUUUGCUUGAAGUCAUAUAGCUAGUAAGUUGGUGAAUGAAUCUGAAUGAGAUCUAAUUC